rnacentral:piRNA from 1 species
UUUGUAAACUUUGUAUGGUUGGGUAAUAC